rnacentral:lncRNA from 1 species
CAGGCCCAAGUGGAACUGACUGAGAAGAUGAGAAAACAAUGUCGUGGGGGUGCACUCACCCUGAGCCACCAAGUCCCCUAGGUGAUCACCACCAUUUCUGCCAAAAGCCUGGCUGCCUGCCAGAAGUAUGAGGAUCUGCACUUAAGUGCUUCUUGGGACCAUAGCUGCCAAGCCAGUCCUGCACAUCUGGAAGCCCAUCCUGGGUGAGGGAGGGCUGUCCUGAGGCCAUGCUGCUGCGUAGGGAAUGCAAAUGCUACAAUGUGGUUCUGACAAGCAAGGUGGCGACCUCCAGCUCCAGCGUCACCAACCAGCACAAAUGAGGCAAGGGCUGCAGUGAUCAGCCACCAGAGGGCCGGGUGCAUGUUCUGCUUGCCCCAGAAGUUGAAACUGUAUCAGAGGCAGGUGUCCCACCUGAAUGCCCAGAAGGAGUGUUUCUCACACUUCUGGGCCUGAUGCCAGCACUGCCAGGGGAGGCUGCACACACUAGAAGGUAAUUGACGCCAGCCAUGACUGCUGUAUCUUUUCCAUGAGCAAGAAGAUGAGGACCUUCUGGAGCACGAGGGCAGCUUCUGAGAUGCUCAGAGGCCUAGUGACUCCU